UCCCAAGGGUAUGGCUGUUCGCCAUUUAAAGUGGUACGCGAGCUGGGUUUAGAACGUCGUGAGACAGUUCGGUCCCUAUCUGCCGUGGGCGCUGGAGAACUGAGGGGGGCUGCUCCUAGUACGAGAGGACCGGAGUGGACGCAUCACUGGUGUUCGGGUUGUCAUGCCAAUGGCACUGCCCGGUAGCUAAAUGCGGAAGAGAUAAGUGCUGAAAGCAUCUAAGCACGAAACUUGCCCCGAGAUGAGUUCUCCCUGACCCUUUAAGGGUCCUGAAGGAACGUUGAAGACGACGACGUUGAUAGGCCGGGUGUGUAAGCGCAGCGAUGCGUUGAGCUAACCGGUACUAAUGAACCGUGAGGCUUAACCUUACAACGCCGAAGGUGUUU
rnacentral:rRNA from 1 species